rnacentral:rRNA from 1 species
UACGAAGGGGGCUAGCGUUGCUCGGAAUCACUGGGCGUAAAGGGUGCGUAGGCGGGUCUUUAAGUCAGGGGUGAAAUCCUGGAGCUCAACUCCAGAACUGCCUUUGAUACUGAAGAUCUUGAGUUCGGGAGAGGUGAGUGGAACUGCGAGUGUGGAGGUGAAAUUCGUAGAUAUUCGCAAGAACACCAGUGGCGAAGGCGGCUCACUGGCCCGGUACUGACGCUGAGGUGCGAAAGCGUGGGGAGCAAACAGG